rnacentral:lncRNA from 1 species
UGAGCGAAGAGCAGCUUUUGAGAAGUGGACGGAUGAAGACAGUCGGAUCAAGUGUUAUGUACUGGCAUCCAUGUCAAACUAGUUGUAAAGCCAGCACGAGCAUAUGCCCACUACUCGGGCUAUGAUCACUCACCUGCAAGAGUUGUAUGGUGAUUAAAGCCAUACUACGCGCUUCGAAGUAUCCAAGAGACUCUUUAACCUCA